UACGGAAGGUCCGGGCGUUAUCCGGAUUUAUUGGGUUUAAAGGGAGCGUAGGCCGGCUUUUAAGUCAGCUGUGAAAGUCCGCGGCUCAACCGUGGAAUUGCAGUUGAAACUGGCAGUCUUGAGUACAGUAGAGGUGGGCGGAAUUCGUGGUGUAGCGGUGAAAUGCUUAGAUAUCACGAAGAACUCCGAUUGCGAAGGCAGCAUGCCGGCUCCACACUGACGCUGAGGCACGAAAGCGUGGGUAUCGAACAGG
rnacentral:rRNA from 1 species